GUAGGUGAACCUGCGGAAGGAUCAUUAAAAAGAAACCGGCCCUCACCGGCCGAACGGCAAAGGUCCCUGUCCGCGGGGACCGGCAGCCCGAAACCCACUGUGAAAAGCCCCAGUUGCUUCGGCAGCUCGCGCCUCCCGGCCGCCGACCUCUGUGCCGGCGCGGGAGGGGCGGUCAGCCUGCCGACGGCACCCGUGGAAACCCAUUUUACCCGGAGGGAAGAAUAUACCGUCUGAGCGCGAAGUCUAAUGACUAUAAAACUUUCAACAACGGAUCUCUUGGUUCCC
rnacentral:misc_RNA from 1 species